rnacentral:rRNA from 1 species
AUGCGGAAUGACCCACACACUACCACCAAUGUCGGCAACCAGGGGAGCCGAGCACCACCGCUGCCACCUACCACCAGGCACCAGGCCCACAACCCCAACCACCUCCGCCGUCUGGCCAAAGGCCAAGAAUUUUAUCCAGAGAAGGAGGGGGGGAGCAGGGGGGCCGAUUUGGAAGCUCGGCCCGCCCUCAAGAGGGAGAAUGACACUGAAGCGCCGUCGGUGUCGAGGUCAACGCGAAAUCGACCAGGCGUUUUCUCCAUUCCAGGACACUGCCACCCAUCCUCGACGGCCAUAUCUGACGGGCCAGACAUCAGAUUGAUGAGAGGAGACCACCACGAGGGGAAGGGGCCGGAAGGAAGAAGAGCCACCCACUUCUGCAGCAAGACAUUGCCGUCCUUGUGCCACCCACGCCACCGGAAGGAAUGA